rnacentral:SRP_RNA from 2 species
GCCAGGCAUGGUGGUGCAUGCCUGUAAUCCCAGCUACGUGGGAGGCUGAGGCAGGAGAAUCGCUUGAACCCAGGAGGCAGAGGUUGCAGUGAGCCAAGGUCAUGCCACUACACUCUAGCCUAGGCAACAGAGCGAGACUCUGUCUCAA